rnacentral:rRNA from 1 species
GACGAACGCUGGCGGCGUGCUUAGCACAUGCAAGUCGAACGGAAAGGCCCUGCUUUUGUGGGGUGCUCGAGUGGCGAACGGGUGAGUAACACGUGAGUAACCUGCCCUUGACUGUGGGAUAACUUCAGGAAACUGGGGCUAAUACCGGAUAGGAGCUCCUGCUGCAUGGUGGGGGUUGGAAAGGUUCGGCGGGUGGGGAUGGACUCGCGGCUUAGCAGCUUGUUGGUGGGGUAGUGGCUUACCAAGGCUUUGACGGGUAGCCGGCCUGAGAGGGUGACCGGCCACAUGGGGACUGAGAUACGGCCCAGACUCCUACGGGAGGCAGCAGUGGGGAAUAUUGCACAAUGGGCGGAAGCCUGAUGCAGCAACGCCGCGUGCGGGAUGACGGCCUUCGGGUUGUAAACCGCUUUCGCCGGUGACGAGGCGUGAGUGACGGUAAUGGGUAAAGAAGCACCGGCUAACUACGUG